rnacentral:rRNA from 1 species
CCGAGGAAAAGAAAUCAACCGAGAUUCCCCCAGUAGCGGCGAGCGAACGGGGAGCAGCCCAGAGCCUGAAUCAGUGUGUGUGUUAGUGGAAGCGUCUGGAAAGGCGCGCGAUACAGGGUGACAGCCCCGUACACAAAAAUGCACAUGCUGUGAGCUCGAUGAGUAGGGCGGGACACGUGGUAUCCUGUCUGAAUAUGGGGGGACCAUCCUCCAAGGCUAAAUACUCCUGACUGACCGAUAGUGAACCAGUACCGUGAGGGAAAGGCGAAAAGAACCCCGGCGAGGGGAGUGAAAAAGAACCUGAAACCGUGUACGUACAAGCAGUGGGAGCACGCUUCGGCGUGUGACUGCGUACCUUUUGUAUAAUGGGUCAGCGACUUAUAUUCUGUAGCAAGGUUAACCGAAUAGGGGAGCCGAAGGGAAACCGAGUCUUAACUGGGCGUUAAGUUGCAGGGUAUAGACCCGAAACCCGGUGAUCUAGCCAUGGGCAGGUUGAAGGUUGGGUAACACUAACUGGAGGACCGAACCGACUAAUGUUGAAAAAUUAGCGGAUGACUUGUGGCUGGGGGUGAAAGGCCAAUCAAACCGGGAGAUAGCUGGUUCUCCCCGAAAGCUAUUUAGGUAGCGCCUCGUGAAUUCAUCUCCGGGGGUAGAGCACUGUUUCGGCAAGGGGGUCAUCCCGACUUACCAACCCGAUGCAAACUGCGAAUACCGGAGAAUGUUAUCACGGGAGACACACGGCGGGUGCUAACGUCCGUCGUGAAGAGGGAAACAACCCAGACCGCCAGCUAAGGUCCCAAAGUCAUGGUUAAGUGGGAAACGAUGUGGGAAGGCCCAGACAGCCAGGAUGUUGGCUUAGAAGCAGCCAUCAUUUAAAGAAAGCGUAAUAGCUCACUGGUCGAGUCGGCCUGCGCGGAAGAUGUAACGGGGCUAAACCAUGCACCGAAGCUGCGGCAGCGACGCUGAUGCGUUGUUGGGUAGGGGAGCGUUCUGUAAGCCUGCGAAGGUGUGCUGUGAGGCAUGCUGGAGGUAUCAGAAGUGCGAAUGCUGACAUAAGUAACGAUAAAGCGGGUGAAAAGCCCGCUCGCCGGAAGACCAAGGGUUCCUGUCCAACGUUAAUCGGGGCAGGGUGAGUCGACCCCUAAGGCGAGGCCGAAAGGCGUAGUCGAUGGGAAACAGGUUAAUAUUCCUGUACUUGGUGUUACUGCGAAGGGGGGACGGAGAAGGCUAUGUUGGCCGGGCGACGGUUGUCCCGGUUUAAGCGUGUAGGCUGGUUUUCCAGGCAAAUCCGGAAAAUCAAGGCUGAGGCGUGAUGACGAGGCACUACGGUGCUGAAGCAACAAAUGCCCUGCUUCCAGGAAAAGCCUCUAAGCAUCAGGUAACAUCAAAUCGUACCCCAAACCGACACAGGUGGUCAGGUAGAGAAUACCAAGGCGCUUGAGAGAACUCGGGUGAAGGAACUAGGCAAAAUGGUGCCGUAACUUCGGGAGAA